CCUUCCCCGGCGGCACGCACCGCCACCCCCACCUUCCUCCUCCGGCUAGGUGCGCUGCCACGAUGCGACCCCCAGCCAGCACGCGCCACCGCCUCCACCUCCCCCUCACGCAGCACCUCCACCGCGACGCACCCCCUGCAAGUUCACGCCGCCGGCCACACCUUCCUUCCGCGUCAGCACGCACCGGCGCGACGCAUCCCGCCGCCUAGCAUCCUGGUGCAACAUCCAAUGAUCCACCGACCCGCAGCCCUGCGCUCUGCCACACCCGCUGCCCGAUCGAGCCCCUGGAGAACAUCCACACGAGCACGUGUGUUCAAUUUCUGCAUUUCUGCUACUGAAAACAGAGGAGAACGGUUGCUAAGAUUUUCUCUGAACUUCCUUGUUCUUUGUGACGAGACCUGCUCAACUCUCCCUCUAUGAACUCCUGCAAAACAAUUUUAUUUAUCUUUUCAUCUUUAUCUUUCUGAACUGAAUUGGACUGGGUUGUGUCAUAUUCUUAUUAAUUUUCCCAUCUGAAAAUGGUAUGAUAUGAAGGAACAAUCUAGGUGGACGAGAAUUUCAAGUUCAUUUCUGACUGCAGAUACUUCGAUUUUUAUUUUCAAGUAUUAAAUUUCUUGGAUAAAUCACCUCUGUCAACGCCUUGCCGGUCAUCAUCCCAAAGUUCACCUCUGUCAACGAUGCCGUUCAGUUGUUGAGGCAAAGCCAUCCUCAAGACACAGAAGAUACGCACUCGAUUAGCAAACUCCACAAGUGAUUUGCACAAACACUUCACCUGGAGGUAUUGACCUGCAGCAUGCCGCGUCUGCCGCUGCCGCCGAGGUCCCCCCACAUACAGCCGGCGCUGCGGCAACCACCCCCCACCACUGUCUGUUGCCGAUGCGUGCAACCACGUCCAGCCGCCCACUGGACGUGGGCAGAGAGGCAGGGCCACGCUGAGAGCUCAAGAUCCACCACCCGCAGUCGCUUCCCCUGCAGGUUGCAGUGGAAAAACAAAAGGCAGAAGUUCAAAGAUGAAAUUUGAAGAAGGAAAUAUACAACAAUCAAAGAAGUAGCGGUCUCAUUACAGAGAAGGAGAACGCCUUGCGAGCCAGCCGAGUUGACUUCUGCCAUCGGCACUGCGUAAUAAUCACUGGAUUCCCAUGGCCACCGGCACUGGAUAAUUAGCACUGAACGACUUGCAAUCCAGAAGAAAGUUGCGCCCAUAACCCGUGGAGAUCUAUCACGUUGUGCAGUUGGUCGUGAUGUCUCCCGGAGCUUCAAUUUUAUGACCCUGGUGCAUUUUCUUCUUUUUUGAUGUGCCAUUUGAUGCAUAAAUUUAUCACUGGAUGCCCAUGGUGUGUGCAUAGUAUGUGUUUGUGUUAGUUCCCGACAGGUUCCUUCAUGUACUUCAUGGUGAUGGAUAGAGAGAUCCAUUAUUCAUUUGUAUAGAAGUUCAAAUUUAAAUAAAAU
rnacentral:rRNA from 1 species